ACACGUUUAACGAGUUCAGCAGUGUCAAUGUGACACUACCUACAUCUCGCCGAGACCUUGUCUCGGAAUCCACUAGAAAUGAACAAAGAUACAAGAGAUAUUACAAUGUGAAAACACCUUCUCGCUAACACACUAAUACUCUGUAUCACACCCUUGUUCUAAUGAGAAAACCCACCCCAAAGCUAAUGCUUUCUAUGUGUUCCUCUCUCACCCUCUUUCUACAUUGUGUGCUGCUACAAUCUCUCUCACGUCCCCAACUACUUAAAUACAAGGAGACAUCCUUAAACCUAGUGCACAAGAUGACAAAACACAAAGGCUCCUCUUUGUGGUCCCAAAAGUAACUUAACCCAAUUCUUAACUUGACUAGAGUCAAAACCUUAGUUACUUUUGAUCUUCAUUUGAUUGUAAACAAGUUCUCAUCUUUACAAUCUCCACCUGAGAACAUGUUGAUCAAUCCUAAACCAGCCUGCACUUAGCUUGAAGAGAGAGAUUUUGAACCCUGAACCUUGGAUUUCAGUCUUGGCUCUGAGUAUCAUUACUUGGCCUUUGAUCCUUAGCAGUUUAAAAAACACUAUAAACCUGCUUGAUCCUUCCUGCAUUAAACUUAUAUUCAAUACACUUCAGCUGUGACUGCUCACACUGCUGAACCUGAGCAAUCAACACAUCUUUAGAUCACGAGUUGUGAAACCCAGCUUCAAUGCAGUUUUGCAUUAAGCUCAACUCUUCCCUGAUCACCUUCUAUGAUGCAUUCAACUCCUGAAUACUUGAUAUCACCGCUCAGAAAACUCUAUUAAUAAGUUACGAAACGCCUCCAACUUGUUAAUAUCAACAGAAAACUCCAUAAGCUUCACCACCUAUGAAACGUGCAAUCACACAUUCUCCACCAUGGCCUCUGUUAGGACCACACACAUGUAUCAGUGAUUGUAAUCAUCCUUUUUUUUCGUUCUGCAAACCUGAUUCCUUUGUCGACUACUUGAUUCAUCUCAUGUGCACUGAGCCUUGAAUCAAAUCUUUUUUCUGAAUCUUAUGCAGUAUCUGAAUCAUCUUAGCUUCAGCUUUGAAGCUCUUGAUUCACCAUUGCAGACAAUCUCAUCAGCCCGUUAAGAACCACUGAAACCUGAGAUUACUUUUACAAACCUGUUUAACAAAACCAAUCCAGAACACAUCCUUUGUUCAACUGUUAUGUUUAAACAGCCUUUACCAGCAGAUUUUAACCACUACCAGCAAUCUUUAAACCUGUCUCACAUCAACAAGACCUUGUGAUAACCCUGAGACAAUCCUUACAGCACCUUUCACAUCCAUUCUAGAAUUCUGAUGCACUUUCUACUGUAGUACAGUCCUGCAAAACCUGCGGACCUCCACCAAAUGAUUUGAACCUUGCACCAUCCAAUUUUCAGACUUAACCAAAGUCUUUUUCUUCUUUAUCAUCAUAUGAUACUUGAAGAUACUCCACUUGAAUGGCCUGCAAGUAUCUUUCUCUGAGAGGAUACUUACAUAUACUCCCCUUUGAUGCAGACAACCAAAACUAAAAAAAAACUCCUUAGUUGUUGUCUUCCAAAUGCAUUCUCUGCAUUUACAUCCUUCAUAGGAUUCCUUUUUCAGUUACCAAGACCAGCUUUGAGAUGGGUUGUUAUCAAACUUGAUACACAACACUUUCACAUUCCCGAAGUGAACAGCCUUGAGACAACUCCUGCAACACUCGUGCUUGUCUCCUUUCAGUUUCUCCUUUAGAGAACUCACUUAACCACUUCAAUGUCUUCAUCUUUGUUUACAUCUUAGGAUCUUCUGAAAAAAGCUUUCAGAAACCUGCAACUCUUUCAUAGAAACCUGCAGCUCUGCUUCUGGAUAUCAUCACCAACAAUCAGCUUCAAAACCAAAAAUUGUAACCAGCCUUGUACCCUCAGACUAUAACCUUCUUUGAGCUGAAAAACCCGUUGAUAAUAAACUGUUCUUGACUUGUUUUCUUAUUAGCAUACUGAACUUCCAUGAAUCUGAUAAACUAGUGAGUUACACAGCCAUUUAACUCUUUUAUCUUCAGCUAACCUUCCGAGACACCAUCCACAAACAUAGCUCCACCAUGAAGGAAAAAAUAUCCUUAGAUAUGCAUUGCUCCUUUUGUAGCAACAAUACUCCACCUGAAACUAUAACCCUUGGAUGCACUUUUUCUCUAUAAGCUGAGCUUCACCAAUCUGAGUUAAAGCCACUUUUCACUGUAUCUUGGAUUCAUUUCCACGUUCUUAUGAAUCACCAUGAUUACUUGCUUGAGAAAGUGUGUCAAAACAUGAGACACAUCUUCUUUCUUCCUUCAGCCACCUCAAAUGAUCCAUUUGCAACUAGAAAACCACUAAGAACUUGUCUUUAAUUUCUGCAGCCUUGUCCUCUCUUUACUUGGAACAUUCUUCAUGAUCUAAUUGUGAAACAACUUAGGCUGAUACACCAUCAAACCAUACCUCAAUCUCAUAAAUAAAAUCUUGUACUUUCCUGUAGCCAAUUCCACUAUAUACUUGUCUUGCACCGCUGUUCAAACGAACAGGACACGCCGCCUAACACCCUUUGGCUAGGAAGACUUUCGACACAAGAAAAUAGUACAGCCAAUUGCAUACCAUCAGAUGCUUCUUUUAACACUUGAAGAUCUGAUCCAAAAAACACAAAACACAAGAUACACUCUGAGAAAAUAUUGCUCCACCCGAGAUAAGAACUCCAUGUUCCUUAAGCAAAAUCACCAUGUGUUAUGCCAAACACAAAUUUGCGUAGAACAUGAAUCUUUUAUGCUGCCACUACCUUGUCAAGAGAAUUCGUUCUCAUGACCUACAACCACAAACUGUCCAGCUUACACCAAACAAAUGGACUUACAAAUGACGCUGCAUUCCCUCUGAAAAAUAGCAGCCUUGUAGCUUCACGUUCUCUGAUAAUCCACAACCUAUAGACUCUUUCAUUCACAAGAACUGAGAACUACACACAGAGAUAAACCUGCAACCGAAACCCCUUUCAAAACUCAGCCAAACCAUUGAAGUGAACACCUCGAGACUUCCAGUUUUUAUCAGCUUAUACCGAUAAUAACACUGACAUACCAACAACUUUUCAGUGCUCCAGCACAUCUUCUCGAUACAGAACAAUAACAGCUUUUGUUGUUCCAACAAACUUGUUCCUGUUCUAGCAAACUUCAUUCUCUGAUUCACCCAAUUCUGAUCUGCAAAACCCUUUUUAGAGAAUCCAGAAAACCUUACUGAUACUCCACAGCCUAAUACACGUAAAAUUCAAGCUUCUAAGGCGUCCCUUAGUCCCAUGAAUGUUAUGAGUUUCCGAGGCUGCGAUUACAACAGUAUUUAAACACCACCUGCAACUGAUUUUACCACACAAAUGUUGACCUGAAACCAUCACUGAAUCUUGGCCAAUCGCUUGCAAAAUCAUAACACUGCCUUUGUGUUAACCAGCUUUCAACUCCCAUAAACCUGCAGAACUUGAGCAAAUCUGAAACUUCAAUACAGAGCAUCACAAACACCUUGUGACUGCAGCGGAAUUAGACUUGAAAUUUCCCAUAAUUUGAGUCUUGAAGUUUAUGUUUUGAUUCCUACAUAAACUCUGAUCGGUUUCUUCAGCAGUGAUCAAGAAGACCAUCUUUGAUCACGUAUUUCUUUCAUUCAUCUCUGAAUUUUCUUUGUGCUAGCAACAUGUUGACUUGUGAGUGAUUAUAAAUCCUUCUCACUAUGUUACAGCUUCUUGUACCCUUUAAGAACUUAGAGGAAACCUGAUUUCAUGACCUAGAAAUCACCUCACUUGAUUCAAAACUUCUGCUAUAUAUGAAUCUCUCCUUAUGGUACAACUUGUUAACAUCUCACUUUCACACUCAACUACAAACCAUAACCUGAGCUUUUGCAGCAACCUCUGAGACAGUCUCUGUAGCUGUCUCUGUAACUGUCGUUGGCUCUGCAACAGCUCUGAAAUAGUCUCUGGAGUUACCUCUGUUACUUCUUCUCCUGUUUCAACAGGAACUGCUUCUAAGAUAGCAACUAGAAAACCUGCAACUUUUGCUUCUUUUAGAUGAUGUGAAUGAGAUGCUUUAUUGUCACCAGACCGAGUCUUACAACUCCUCCUUUGGUUCGUGCUCUUUUCCAAGAGACAUAGAUUGCUUUUCCAACCAGAGACAGUCAUUUCUCCACAAUCUCUCUCAACACCUGAGAAAACCCAACAGUGCUCCACCAAGAAAGAGUUUUAUGACAUCUUUCUCUCUUCUACACUAUUUACCAAGAGCUUCUGUUUGAUUCUUGCACCUGAGACGCUUCUUGUCUCUGCACAAACAAGCUCUCCACAGAAAGGUCAUGGAUGCUUAAAGCAAAGGAGCCUUGCUGCUCUAGCUUUCCAAAGAUCCAACCUUUUUCACCUUUCUUCACUCUCCUUCUUUCUCUAGAUCUUUUCUCUCUUAGAUCUGAAUCUUCUUUCUCUCUUUUGCUUCUACUUCUCUUAGAUCUGAGACUUUCCUUCUUGAAAUCUCAGUCAUCUUCAACGCUUCACUCAUGCUUAGACACCAGCCAUGAGUUUCUCUUUCCACAAAGCAACGUUUCCACAAGCACCAAACUUUACCACUUCUCUUCUUGAUAAAACAUGAUUCUUUGGCUUGGAGAACCACAAAAAAACACAAAACCUAGGCUCUGAUACCACUUGUUGAGAAUUCAGAAGCUCAAAAGACUUAAACUUUCUAGAGCAUGAACCUCAUACAACCAAGACUAAAGUAGUUUGGUGCAAAAACGGAUUUGUUAAAACAGAGAGGCUUUUGUUGCAGCAAGAAAACAGAGCAAAGAGAUAUUAGAGAUGAGAAUAGAGAAGAAGGGAGCAAACACACGUUUAACGAGUUCAGCAGUGUCAAUGUGACACUACCUACAUCUCGCCGAGACCUUGUCUCGGAAUCCACUAGAAAUGAACAAAGAUACAAGAGAUAUUACAAUGUGAAAACACCUUCUCGCUAACACACUAAUACUCUGUAUCACACCCUUGUUCUAAUGAGAAAACCCACCCCAAAGCUAAUGCUUUCUAUGUGUUCCUCUCUCACCCUCUUUCUACAUUGUGUGCUGCUACAAUCUCUCUCACGUCCCCAACUACUUAAAUACAAGGAGACAUCCUUAAACCUAGUGCACAAGAUGACAAAACACA
rnacentral:lncRNA from 1 species